rnacentral:rRNA from 1 species
CGUGGGUAACCUGCCCAAGAGAUCGGGAUAACACCUGGAAACAGAUGCUAAUACCGGAUAACAACAGAUGAUGCCUAUCAACUGUUUAAAAGAUGGUUCUGCUAUCACUCUUGGAUGGACCUGCGGUGCAUUAGCUAGUUGGUAGGGUAACGGCCUACCAAGGCGAUGAUGCAUAGCCGAGUUGAGAGACUGAUCGGCCACAUUGGGACUGGGACACGGCCCAAACUCCUACGGGAGGCAGCAGAC